AUCUAUGGCCACACCACCUUGAACGCGCGAGAUCUCCUCUGAUCACGGAAGCUAAGCAGGGUAGGACCUUGUUAGUAUUUGGAUGGGAUACCACCUGGGAAUACAGGGUGCCAUAGACU
ensembl:rRNA 5S_rRNA 5S ribosomal RNA